UUAAUAAGAAAAAGUGUUUGUGCCUGUAGAAUCUAUAAUUUUCAAACAUACCCUUCACUCCUAUCAAAAACACAUUAAUGGUCCAAGAUUUAAAAGAUUAGGCUCACAUUUAAAAAAAUCAGCGUUACCAUGCCUAAAUCCUAGCCUAAAUCUUUUAUCAUAUCACCAAACCAGUUAAACCCGUCCUGCUCCGCAGGAAGUAUAUCAAAUCUUAAGUGUAAACAAAAGUUAUCCGCAUUAAAAAUAUUCCGGAUAAACAAAUUUCUGGCUGCGUAGGUGUUUAUCGAAACCUAUAUUAUAUGUGGUACAGGAAGUGGUAGGUAUUUUUAUUUUUCCACUUCUGUGCAUUUUGCAAAUAUAUAAAAGAAUGAAUAUAGGAUUUUUUGCACAGUUCGCAAAGAUGAAAAUCUUAGUGUUGCUAGCAAGCCUCGUUUUGGCGUGUCAGUCAGGAAAUGUGCCUAUAAUUCUCCCCUCGCUUGAAAAUCAUCUACCGUAUAUGGGUCCCUUCAGGGAUGUAUGCAUAGAACAAUCCGGUGUUGACCCUAACGUGAUCGAUGAGAUCUUUAAAACGUGGGAAUUUCAAGAUACUAAAGAAGUAGUAACGUUUUUUGGCUGCGCUAUGGUUAUGGAGGGCGUUAUAUAUCCUACCAGCGUAAUAAACAAGGAACACCUAAAGGGUUCUAUGGAUUUCGAGAGCCCUGUAAUGGCACAUCACGUGUACCACCUUUGCAAAGGUACUCGACUGGAAGAGACCGUGGGCGAAACGGCUUUAAAGCUAGCUAAAUGCGUAGUGACUGAAAUACAACAGUUUUGAACUAUUGCACUUUUUUGCCAACAGUUUAUGUUAUUGUACCUUCUGUUAAGUGGAAAAUAAAAGUAUACUUAUCAUGUCA